UUUGACCAUGGACCGGAAGGAAGCCCUAUAAUAACGCCUGCACAAAGAGAAGAGGGCAGCGUAUGCAGUGAGAAGCUGGCUACGUGAGGAUCAUGGCGCUGGCGCGUCCUUCCUCCCUCGUUCUCGCGGUGGCGGUGCUGGCAAUCAUCUGCUGUUUCACGCCACGCUCAACGACGGCAAUCCGAGUUGUUCCCGACGGACUCCAUGGGCUACUAAAUUCCCCUCCGUCGCCGCGUCCCAAUUAUUCGCCGCAUGCGCAUGGGGAACCCUACACGGGACGGCCGUGCAGGCAAAUUUAUGGCUGCAGAACGGUUCCUGAACCACCUCCACAGGGGACAUCCCCGCCGACUCCACGCCGCAAGACCAUGCAAGUUGUGGCCAACACAUGAAUCACCGUUAUAUAUCUGCAGCGAUGGCGACGUUGCGAUAUGAUUACGAGUUCUAGAAUUAUUUUUAUGUGGCAACGAUCGAGCUGAUUGAUGUGGUUGCUGCCACGAUUCAGUGCAAGUUGACGCCGGAUGCAUGCAUGCUACACAAAGAAAAAUAGCUGUGUAAUAAAUAGUACUAUUUUGCAACCACACUAAUAUAUGUGGCGAUGGCAAACUUUUGCUGAGGAAAGUUCACUGAAAAAAAUAUGUCUUGUAAACUAGCAAACCCGGGGAACUAUAUUGUUUAUUGGCUGACCAA